CAUCUGUUGUAAAACUAACGAAUGCUACAACGAUAAUGCAUAGCUUGUCAACAUUAUCAGUUGAACUUUAUCGUUGAUCACAAUUACCCAAUUACUGCAUAUCGACACCUGUAACAUUGGAUCAAUGGCUGUGGAUAUCGGUGCCCAACAGACUGUCUCUAUUUGCAAGCAUUGCUCGUCUCAGUCAUGGCUUCCCGCCUCCUCCUCCUCCAUGUUGACCUGAAUCAGCGCUGCAAACGCUUCUCGUGGAGCUGGGAAAUGCUGCACGAGGAGGCUUUGUCAACAUGCUGAUACAGGCAACUGAUCACAGCGAAAUUAAGACAACAAAAAUGAAUGAGCAACCAUUUAAAUCACGUGGUUCAGUUUUUUGCACGAUGAUUCUACAGCUGCAAGCCAAACAAACGUUCUGCACGGCUACUGGGAUGGACUAAAAUGGAACUUACCUUUACACAGAACUGACAACGGACACACAGAAGUGAAAAGCCUUUUGCUCUGACUUGGAAACAGCGUGACUGACAAAAGACUUCGACUACACCAACCACCCGCCAACUCUGCUUGAGCAUGCGUCAAUUUACGAUCGCGACAAUGGCAUCAUGGGAGAUUGAGUGUCAACAAUGGGAAAGUAUUUUAGACAGUGAAGACAGACAGGAAGUGAGUGGAGGAGGGAGAGAUGGGGUGGUAUCAGGACAUGACCGCAGGUUGGACUCAAACCUGGGUCCCCGUGGGUACUUGGACCCAGUCAUGUAUCCACCUGGCAUUUGCCCUUGCUCUGCCUCCACCAGCUGAUGACGUCCCAUCCCUCUUGACCAUCUGAUGAGAAGCCAGGUAUCUACGGGUUGACUCUACAGAUACAGUACCUGCUGACGGUUGCCAUGGAACGGAUAUACAGUAACCAAGAGAUUGUUU